AGCAGCCGCGGUAAUUCCAGCUCCAAUAGCGUAUAUUAAAGUUGUUGCAGUUAAAAAGCUCGUAGUUGAAUUUCGAGACCGGCUUACUGGUCGUGCUUUUGUACGUACUGGUAUAAUCGGUUUCUCCUUUCUGACGAACUAUAAUGCCAUUAAUUUGGUGUUAUAGGGAAUCAGGACUGUUACUUUGAAAAAUUAGAGUGUUUAAAGCAGGCUCACGCUUGAAUACAUUAGCAUGGAAUAACGGAAUAGGACGUUUGAUUCUAUUUUGUUGGUUUCUAGGAUCGACGUAAUGAUUAAUAGGGAUAGUUGGGGGCAUUAGUAUUCAAUUGCCAGAGGUGAAAUUCUUGGAUUUAUUGAAGACUAACUACUGCGAAAGUAUUUGCCAAGGAUGUUUUCAUUAAUCAAGAACGAAGUUAGGGGAUCGAAGACGAUCAGAUACCGUCGUAGUCUUAACCAUAAACUAUGCCGACUAGGGAAUCGGAUGAUGUUAAUUUUUAAUG
rnacentral:rRNA from 1 species